GACUGUGCCGCUUCGAUUUGUUCUUACUCUUCUUAACGAGAUGCCGUCCCCUGCGACGUCAUUCUGGCUGCCUGCUGCUUCCCCUCCUUCUCCUCCUCUUCUUCUUUUCAUUUUACAGGACAGGUCAUAAAAAUAGAAGUUUGGAUAACUAACAAAUCUCGCGAGACUGAUUUUUAACGCGAUGAGAAAUAUGGUCGAGUUUAAUCUCGUCACACCCCUAUUCAACAUACUUUUUAAAAUUGGUCUUUUGUAAUAUUAAGAUUUCUUUGAGACGCUGAAUUUUAGGUCUUCAUUAAAGGUAAGCCAUAAUCAUUUUAAUUAGAAGAAAUUAAAUAAAUUAAGAUAUGUGUUAUUUCACAUUUUGGAAUUGAAUUACUGAUAAAAAUAAACUUUUCUAUUAUAUUCUCAUUUAUUGAGAAGCACCUGUAAUAAUACAUGUCCCGGGGAACUAAACAUGAAUCCUUAAUUUCUAUGAGUGCAUUUUGUUCGCACCAUUAAGUUUGAAGACAAAUCAUCAACAUAAACUUUACAACAGAACACUGUGUUGGACUGAACACGUGUACCUUAUUAAGAGGACACUGAGUGGACCACCAAGGUGCUGGAAAAGCUUUAAAAGUGCUUGAAAGUGCUUGAUUUUGACUUUGGAAGAGAUGUAGGAAUAGAUGUCACGGCGAGGAAAUGUUAACCAGUGUUUCUGAUCUCUCUGGUCAUUUUACAAGAAGUUGUAUUUUUUGUGGAGAUGCUCAAAAUCUGCAGGACUCUCACUUUGAUAUUACAGGUAGCUCUUUAGGAAACAGGACUUGCAAUAGUUUUGUUUCUGUGAGCUGUGGAUCCUUUUCUGUCACUGGGAUGUUGAUGUUUGGCUUGAUUAAAAUGUUUUAUUUAGAUAUCAGUGGAAACAACAAGCAGAACUUCCAUGGUGCAUCAGAUUUAUAAAACCUUAUUAAUUGAGACACGAUCAAUAGCUGACUGAUGCUGUCUGUCUGUCUGUCUGUGAACCUGCGUUUAUUUUAAACAAACAUGUUGAUGUUUGUUUUCUACCAUGUUUCUGCUUGUUUUACUGCAUCAGCUGAUUCUGAUCAACUACGACUGGAUAAACAGAGUCAGAAAAUCUAUGAAUUAUUUAUCUCCUUUGCUGAUGGAAUGGAGCAUUGACUUUAAUGAUUAUUGAUUAACAGUUUGUUUUCCUGGUCAAAGGAAGUCACGUCAGAUGUUUGUGUGUAGUUGGAACAUGUUGGACGUGUUUUCCAGCCGGAGCUGCAGAGUCAGUGGGAGAUAUCUGCCAGAUAUUGAUUUGACAAAGCAGCAGAAUCAGCUUCUGUGUCUGUUGUCUGGCUCAAACACACAUACACUGGCCUCAUUCAGAUCUCAGUCUGCUUUCAGCUCAUUAUGCAGGUUUGAGUCAGCAGUUUAAGUCCACACGUCUGAGUCUGAGAAUUGAUCUUAGGCUAUUGUAUCUAUGCCUCAAGCUGAUAAAACUCUGCUGUGUUUUGUUUUUUAAAGGUGAAAAACCAAAGCAUCUUUAGGCUUAGGUCUGUCAUAACACAUUAUUUUGGACGAUAUAUUUUCCCAGAAACUAUUACAAUAAACGAUAGUAUCGUUGUAUCGAUGUUGUUUUAGCUUUAUAACCAUAUUACAGGGAUGCAAACAAGUUGCUUUUCGGCGAUUCUCGCUUUUUUCACGGGAGUUUGGGUGACUCGUGCAAAUCGUGGGCGAGUAGUGACGUCAUACGUCACCUCGCCGUCUUUCCCGGUCUUUGCUAUUUCGUUCCACCUUCCAGGGAUGCAAAUUUUCGCUUUCCGGUGAUUCCGAUGAGCUUGGUGAGACCCGGGAGCGCGUGUCCGUCAUGAGAGCGAUUUGAGAUGGUGAACGAGUGUGUGUUAACCCAUUGAAGCCUGGAAAGCGGAUGCGUCAUUUUGUAGUAUUUGUAUAAGCUCUCAAAUACUUUUAGAAUUUCAUUUCUAUCUGCUACAGAGGCUGAAAAAUCUAUUAUUUAGUAGGAAGCGUUGACGCUUCUGUUGAAUUUCCAGAAAAACUUCAGGUUUUAGGGGCUUAUUUUAAAAUCGAGUUUUUACAGGAAGUUUUAGGCGUCAAUGGGUUAAGGCUAGUUAGUUAAAGGUGUAAUAAGCGAUAUUCAUCAUUUUUAGAUUUAAGAAAUAAAAAAAUCACUAUGUGAAGCACUAGUGCUGUGCUCACACCCCCUCUCUGUGUGUUUCUGGAGGAAUAACAACCACAUACCACACCGCUCAAAUCCAGAGGCGUUUAUGAGCAACAGGAGUUUGUUUUUUAAACUUUUGGGGACUGAAAACAUGAAUUAAUCUUUAUUUUCGCCUCUCAAAACUUCUUAUAUCCGGUCAGUUUAUAAUGUUAAGGUCACAUGGAUAUCUGUGUAUAAUCAAUAAUGUCGCUGCAGUAUUUAUGCCUUUAGAUGUGUGCUUUGUGUGUGACUGUGCAUGCCCGCACGCGGCACAGGCUGGCAGGGGCGACAUGUCUCAACCUGUCUGUGCGCCGGUGAUUUGAUCAGCACUGACCAGUUUGAUAGUCUGAUGUGAAUUUCGUUUCAAGUGAGUAACGUUAAUACUGAACUCCAUUGGAAAAAACCUUCUAAUUGUGACGGAUCACCUGGUAAUUGGUCAUUUAAGUUACAUUGUUACUGAAAUGAGUCCACAUUUAUCUACAAAAUAUGUGCCGAAUUACAUUGAAGUGGCUAAAUGAAUGUUAUUUUUUCAAUAUCAUCCAUGUUGUUUAUCCUACACUCCUCUAAACAAGGGUUGUUGUAAAUAGUGUAUUUUUAUAAGGGAGUUCUGCAGGCAGCUGGACAGAGUUCAGUAUCUCCAGCACACACCUCCAGCAUUUCAGAGCAGAUGAUUCUGCUUAUUGUUUCAUGACUUUAAACAUCAUUUCAUAUACUUAUUCAUUUGUUAAUUCUUCAGAUUUCUGUUCUAUUACAUAUUUAUUUAGCAAACAAGACAGAGAGUCUGAUUUGGUGAUCAAAUCUUACCAUAAAAGUAUGAUUUUUGGCAAUUAAGGUAUUUGAAUUGGAGCCUCAUGCAUAUUUAAAGUGCUUGCUGUGGCCAAAAUUGUUAAUAGAAACACACAAUUUAUAUAUAUAUAUAUAUAUAUAUACACACACAGAAUUUUCCUCCUUUUUUCACCAUACCUAUGUUUGCAUCCCUGAUAUUAGAGCAUAAUAAGUUCAUCCUUUUUCCCCAGCAAUGCAUUUUAAAUCUCAAGAAUAUUAAACAUUGCAAUUGAAAUAUGGAAAAGAAAUAUUAAAAGAACCUAGAUAAAUAAAACAUAAAUAAAUAAACUACAAACAAAAACAAAUAAAAUAGACUUUCAGGCUCUGUUAACAAAACAUUUCACUGAGAUAAUAAUUAUGUAUUAUAUUAUUUUAUUAUUAAAAUAACAUAUAAACAGCUCGAAUUGCUGCUUGGGAAUAUAUAUUUGAUUUCAGCAGUUCGUACUGCCUGUCAAACAUUUGCAGCUUUACUUUAAACACAAAAAUGCACAAAAGUCACGCAUGUAAACGACAAUAUAUUGAGUCCAGAAAAAACUAUCAAGUCCAUUUUUUUAUAUGGAACAAUAAGUUGAUAUAGUAAUUAUUGAGACAGGCCUAUUUAGGUUACAUCAUUUAUCAUUAAAACAUAAUGUAAAAUAAAUACACCCUGUGACCGUGAAAUUCUCAGAAUACUAGUCGAGGCUAUUAAAUGUUGUUGUCUUCUGAUGUUUACUGUUAUCCUGCUGGACACCGGAGCGUCUCCUCCACCAGCGGUUCUUCUGCCCGGAUAGAAACAUUUCAGACACACACUCCUCUGACUGGGACAUCAUUCUGACUAAAUGUAAAGAAGUGAAUAAUAUCUCUCCAUCAUAAUAAUAACAAUAUUUGGAUAUAAUAUAGGCUAUUAGGCUUUAUAUAUCACAAUGUAUAAAUGAAAUAGUUGAAUGGUCCACUGCUACUCUGCUGACAGUGGCACUGAUUUCCAUCCUUUUCACUUUUUAUGCUGCCAAACUAAAGCAGUUUGUUGUGUUGCAGCUGUUGGACGUCAGCGUUUCACUUUCUGACUUUGAGAAAUUCCUCUUCUAUUGGAAUUAAAACUUACUCUAAAACAUUGUUUACCUCCUGCAACCAAAAAGCUGUGAAGUCCGUGCUCCAAAUGUAAAAUAUUCACCAAACUUGUUUGAGUUUAUAACUAUAAGUACUUUUAUUUCACAAACCUCCGUCGCUGCGUAUUUCUGUAAUAUGUCUAUUUUUCUCCUCUGUACCUACCUGUAAUGGUGCACUUUGCUAAUAAAGCUGACUUUA